ensembl:lncRNA
CCUCACUCUCAGAGAAAUCAGUAGUACUGCUAGGUUUUAUACAGUAAUAAUAUAUAUCUGCCUCACUCUCAGUGAAAUCAGUAGUACUGCUAGGUUUUACACAGUAAUAAUAUAUAUCUGCCUCACUCUCAGAGGAAUCAGUAGUACUGCUAGGUUUUACACAGUAAUAAUAUAUAUCUGCCUCACUCUCAGAGAAAUCAGUAGUACUGCUAGGUUUUACACAGUAAUAAUAUAUAUCUGCCUCACUCUCAGAGAAAUCAGUAGUACUGCUAGGUUUUACACAGUAAUAAUAUAUAUCUGCCUCACUCUCAGUGAAAUCAGUAGUACUGCUAGGUUUUACACAGUAAUAAUAUAUAUCUGCCUCACUCUCAGAGGAAUCAGUAGUACUGCUAGGUUUUAUACAGUAAUAAUAUAUAUCUGCCUCACUCUCAGAGGAAUCAGUAGUACUGCUAGGUUUUACACAGUAAUAAUAUAUAUCUGCCUCACUCUCAGAGAAAUCAGUAGUACUGCUAGGUUUUACACAGUAAUAAUAUAUAUCUGCCUCACUCUCAGAGAAA